rnacentral:rRNA from 1 species
UCCUACGGGAGGCAGCAGUGGGGAAUAUUGGGCAAUGGAGGAAACUCUGACCCAGCAACGCCGCGUGAAUGAUGAAGGUCUUCGGAUUGUAAAGUUCUUUUCUAAGGGAAGAAGAAAGUGACGGUACCUUAGGAAUAAGCCUCGGCUAACUACGUGCCAGCAGCCGCGGUAAUACGUAGGGGGCAAGCGUUAUCCGGAUUUACUGGGUGUAAAGGGAGCGUAGGUGGCAGGGCAAGUCAGAUGUGAAAACCCGGGGCUCAACCCCGGGAGUGCAUUUGAAACUGUCCAGCUGGAGUGCAGGAGAG